CAUAAGUUUAUUAAAUCAUACUAAUUGGUUGAGGUUAAUGUUAUUUAAUUGAAGUAGCUUUUUGGUGAGGACCAUGGCGUAUGGUCUGUUACUGUAGAGGAGUGAGGAGGAGACAGACACUGAAUUUACUGAGCAGUUUUCUUAAUGAGGUAAGCAGUGCUGGUGAAGACUCAAAGGAAUUAGGUAUAUUCACUGCACUAAUGAAAGACCAAAAUGGAAACUGGAAGAAAUACUUGGCUAAGAGAGGAGUACUGUUACUGAUAAGGGGGACUGAUUGAAAAAGUAAAUGAGAUACCAAAGGCUCUAUGCAGUACAUGUAUGUGUCUUCAAUUGACCAGGAAUCUAGACUCCAGCUGACAACAAAAUGAAAAAUGAAAAUAUGAAUGCAUUAUCAAGUUAAUUGAUAUGCAAGCUACAUGUACAGUACAUGUACAUGUAUGAUCAAGAGUAUAGUAUGAUUGAAAGAUGGGAGAGAGCUGGCACUCAUACUCAGCGACAGAGCUUGUUAAAGGUACAUAGUCCUGGUUGCUACUGUAUAGCAAAAGAUUUUGGCUAUUCUAUAAUUGCAAUGUUGUAGUGGUUUUUAUACUGGCAAAUUUGCAAUUGAGCAUGCUCAGAAUAAGGCAAUUUUUUGAUGAUUAUUUUGUCACUAAUCUUCCAAUCACCAAUUAUUACAGAUUUAUCACCAAUCUACCAAUUUUUACUGCCAUGUGCUUAAAUCACCCACCAAAAUAUAGGGUACUUUAAUGUAUCAUGAAGGAGAAAAGAAUUAAUCCAUUCAAACAGAAAAAAAGGCACAUUAUGCUAUUUAAUAGAUUAUUGCUUUAUUGCAAGAUUGUAAGUUUACACUUUUAAUUAGAAAUAUUUCAUAUUUUCAAAGGAAAGCUGCUAUACA